rnacentral:rRNA from 1 species
AACGAACGCUGGCGGCAUGCCUAACACAUGCAAGUCGAACGAGACCUUCGUGUCUAGUGGCGCACGGGUGCGUAACGCGUGGGAACCUGCCCUUAGGUUCGGAAUAACUCCCCGAAAGGGGUGCUAAUACCGGAUAAUGUCUUCGGACCAAAGAUUUAUCGCCUUUGGAUGGGCCCGCGUUGGAUUAGCUAGUUGGUAGGGUAAAAGCCUACCAAGGCGACGAUCCAUAGCUGGUCUGAGAGGAUGAUCAGCCACACUGGGACUGAGACACGGCCCAGACUCCUACGGGAGGCAGCAGUGGGGAAUAUUGGAAAAUGGGCGAGAGCCUGAUCCAGCAAUGCCGCGUGAGUGAUGAAGGCCUUAGGGUUGUAAAGCUCUUUUACCCGGGAUGAUAAUGACAGUACCGGGAGAAUAAGCUCCGGCUAACUCCGUG